UCCCGGACUACGAGAGUGUGUUUGAGUAGGCCAUGGUGAGGUUCUGGAGAUUUCCGUUGGUCCAGAAGGCACAUGAAGGUUUUGCUUGUUUGCUGUUUGUGGGACAGAAGUAAGAAGACAUUGAUCGAAACACUAGAAGUCAGUAAAAUUUUCAACAGAUUUUAAUUCCUGUUCUUCAGUAUCAGGAGACGGUAACCAAUAGUCGGAAAAAGCAUUACGGUGUAUUUUGUUAAUACCAGCAACUACCGGCGGCUAUGUACAAUGUGUCACAAAUUGAGAAACACACCCCGAAGGCUGUACGCCACCGCGUCUGAGCCGGAAUCAGUAGGCUCUUUAACGCCAAAUCAAUGUGACAAAAACAAACCCACACAGGGACCAGCGAAUCGUUACCAUCCAUGCACGUGGCCUACUAGGCCUUGGUGUUGGGGUCGUCACGUAAGCUGAACAAAGUACUUUUGCAUUUUCCUCUUGUCAGUUGAUGGUGUUAGAAAAGGGCGGGUGGUUUGGAUGUGAUGGAAAUGAAGAUUCUGAUAUUUCGAUAAGCAUCUCUGUCCUAGAAAAUGUCCGGAGGCAUAUUUCUCAUCUAUAUAGGUUUCAUAAGUAUUCCCCGGUCAAAGUUACAGCAUAAUUGAGUGUAAUGAUGAUAACGAAGGGUUUCAUGUUUGACGAAAGCGCCGAGGAUUAUAUGCCACGCCCGAAUACCCGAAUGGAUUUAAGCACGUUCGACAUGGUUUACCGUCGUGUCUCUGUAGCUCCGUAUUCUGAAUCGCCAUGACUAUUUUCGGAGCAAAUUAAAAUCAUCAUCCAACCGUCGCAUCACAAAUCAUUUUGUCACGAGAUUCGUUAUGCCAUUUUCAUGAUUCAAACGUGCUUCAAACAUGCAUAUAUUUUACGAAUGGCGCAGAGCUGGUAAGAGGAAAUGUGGAAUGACGGGAGAUACGAUGUAGGAUCAAAGAUGGUAGAAAUCAUUCAGCAAGUUAUUCGAAUUAUUCUUUCAGCCAACGUGCCUUGAUAGAGAAGAAUGUGUCUUUUGGGAAAAUGCUUAAAAUAAUUCGAACUGUACAUGUAAAAAGGGCUGAAUGGGAUGAAAAAAAUCUUCGAUAAAAUAUUUCCAUAUUUCGUGCUAAUCGUUAAAACAUUGCAUGAAGCAAACAAGCAGAAAAAACACCUUUAACUGCAUAAAAAGCGGCUUUUCUAGAAACACCCACUUUCGG